UAAUCACCUGCUGUUUUUAUUGUAAAAUUUUGAAUUCUGUUCACACCAAAUAGAAUAUGAAAUGCAAGUUUCUUAUUUUAGCUAUAACUGAAGUAAACACAAAGAUGUUUUGACUUGGAAGCUUUAUGCCAAUAAACCUUUCACAAUUUACUAUUAUUUAGUUCAAUUAUUGAACAUCCUGGCUUACAUACAAACUAACUGAAAUAAUCUUAAAGGAAGACGGGGAAGCCAGACUUUUACAACCCUGCCGUACCAAUUAUAUUUGAAAAGACUAAUGAAAUUAACUGUUGGCGACAAGGCCAGAAAAAUCAGUACUUUAAAAUGAAAAUCUAUCCAAUGUGUUGUUGGGAAAAUCCCACCAAAAUCAACAGACGUAUCAAUAUAAAACAUAUGAAGUGUGAAUUCCAUCACGAAAAUGACAUUCAGGCUUUUUGUGACAAAUAUAACAAAAUUCUAGACAUAAGAACAAACAAUAACACUAUGAUGGGUGAACUUUAUAGUUAACAUACCUUCACAAAUUCAGAAAGAUUAAUAACGACGGAACCAACUA